AGUGAACGCUGGCGGUAGGCCUAACACAUGCAAGUCGAACGGCAGCACAGUAAGAGCUUGCUCUUACGGGUGGCGAGUGGCGGACGGGUGAGGAAUACAUCGGAAUCUACUUUUUCGUGGGGGAUAACGUAGGGAAACUUACGCUAAUACCGCAUACGACCUACGGGUGAAAGCAGGGGAUCUUCGGACCUUGCGCGAUUGAAUGAGCCGAUGUCGGAUUAGCUAGUUGGCGGGGUAAAGGCCCACCAAGGCGACGAUCCGUAGCUGGUCUGAGAGGAUGAUCGGCCACACUGGAACUGAGACACGGUCCAGGCGCCUACGGGAGGCAGCAGUGGGGAAUAGUGGACAGUGGGCGCAAGUCUGAUACAGCCAUACCGCGUGGGUGAAAAAGGCCUUCGGGUUGUAAAGCCCUUUUGUUGGGAAAGAAAAGCAGCAGGUUAAUACCCCGCUGUUCUGACGGUACCCAAAGAAUAAGCACCGGCUAACUUCGUG
rnacentral:rRNA from 1 species